CCCCGGGCGUGGGAACUUAAGGCAAUUAGUGCGAGUGAGAGAGGGAGGGGGAGAAAGGGAAAAGAUGAGAACAAGUGGGAUUCCCCCCCUAGUAAACGGGACGAAGGGGGAAAGAAGGGGAAAAAGCUCAAAAGUUGGCUACCGCAUGUUGGACAUAACUCUCCCGGAAUGUAAACUAAAAGUUUUUGAGGUCGGUUUUAGUCAGCCAGGGUAAAUAAGUCCAUCUGGAAAGGGGGCAGACAUAGAGGGGUGAAAUACCCCGUCUUUUGGCCUGAGUUUUUGGUUAGGGCGUUUGGCUUGGAAGACGAAGAGUCAGGUUGUUUUGGGAAUGCAGCCUAAAAAUGGGAGGUAAAUCUCUCCUAAAGCUAAAUAUUGACGAAAGACCGAUAGCGAACAAAGUACCGUGAGGGAAAGAUGAAAAGCACUUUGAAAAGAGGGUCAAAAAGUACGUGAAAUUGCUGAAAGGGAACCGUAUGAAAUCAGACCUACUGGUAGGUAAUCAAUCUUUCCCUUGGGAAGGAUGCACUUGCCUGCUAUGUAUGCCAGCGACAUUUUGGUUGGAAGGAAAAAAAUAGAGGAAAUGUAGCCUGGGCUUCGGUUCAGGUGUUAUAGUCCUUUAUAAAAUACUUUCGGCUGGAAUGAGGAACGCAGCAAACCGUAAGGCGAAGAUACUAGGCGCUUGGGGAAAAUAAUGAGAGAAUUUCUGCUUCGGGUGGUGCUUUUAUUAUUUUUUUCAACUCGUUUGGUGUUCUUUUAAUUUGCUUAGGUUGUUGGCUUAAUGAUUUUAUAUGACCCGUCUUGAAACACGGACCAAGGAGUCCACCAUAUGCGCGAGUCUUUGGGUGUAGAAACCCAUGGGCGGAAGGAAAUUGACUAAGAUACCAAGGCGUAAGCUGGCAGUAUCCCCCCGGCAUAGACGUUUUAUACUGAAAUGACUGAGGGCAAGCGCUUAUGAUGGGACCCGGAAAGAUGGUGAACUAUACUUGAAUAGGGUAAAGGCCAGAGGAAACUCUGGGUGGAAGCUCCGCAGGCGAUUCUGACGUGCAAAUCGAAUCGUCAAAAUUUUGAGUAUAGGGGGCCGAAAGACUAAAUCGAAACCAAUCUAGUUAGCUGGGUUCCUGCCCGGAAG
rnacentral:rRNA from 1 species